rnacentral:rRNA from 1 species
AACGAACGCUGGCGGCAGGCCUAACACAUGCAAGUCGAGCGGACCCUUCGGGGUUAGCGGCGGACGGGUGAGUAACGCGUGGGAAUAUGCCCUUCUCUACGGAAUAGUCCUGGGAAACUGGGGGUAAUACCGUAUACGCCCUUUGGGGGAAAGAUUUAUCGGGGAAGGAUUAGCCCGCGUUGGAUCAGGUAGUUGGUGGGGUAAUGGCCUACCAAGCCGACGAUCCAUAGCUGGUUUGAGAGGAUGAACAGCCACACUGGGACUGAGACACGGCCCAGACUCCUACGGGAGGCAGCAGUGGGGAAUCUUAGACAAUGGGGGCAACCCUGAUCUAGCCAUGCCGCGUGAGUGAUGAAGGCCUUAGGGUUGUAAAGCUCUUUCAGCUGGGAAGAUAAUGACGGUACCAGCAGAAGAAGCCCCGGCUAACUCCGUG